AAAGUCUUCUCUACUUUUAGUU
rnacentral:miRNA from 1 species